rnacentral:misc_RNA from 1 species
AUGGUCAACUCAUCAGGCUCAUGAUCUGAAGAUUACAGGUUCAAAUCCUGUUCCCGCCUUAUGAUGCAAAACACAGCAUCAACCGGGGUAUCAACUAUCCCGGUAGAAACCCAGCCUACUGGCCGGGUUGGAUCAAAAUCGAUCAUAAUUUACUCAUGAUUAGAGCUUCUCUUAGACUACUUAAUGAGGGCGGGGUGGGGAUCUAUUAUUUCCAAUUAGAUGUUAGGUAUUAUUGUUCGGAUAGUGAUUAUACUUAUAGAAAUAUUGGUACAAUUACUUAAGCUCGUAGCGAUGCCGAUUCCUCUAGCAGCUCAAUCGUAUGAGAUCAAUUCUUUCAGUUGAAUGUCCUAUGCUAUGGCCUGCCUCUCUUUAUGCGAACGAAUCCGUUUUUUAAGUUAAUAUAUUCGCUCCAUGCGACUGCCCCAUACGAUACGUAUCC